UUGACCUGGGCGUCUAGUGC
rnacentral:rRNA from 1 species